CAUCGUCGAAAUAAUCGGCGGGACUGUUGAUGUGGUUUGCUAACCUCACUUUCAAUUUUCAGCUUUGAGCUUUGAGUUUUUGAAACGUUUUGUUGUUUAUUUACAAUUUGUGCGACCAAAAGUAAUUAUUAUUACUUACAUUAUCUUGUUUCCUUGUAAAUUGAAAACACCACUGUAUAUUUACAUUAAUUUACUACACCUUUAUUCGGUGAACAUGAAUAUAAACAGGGAUAAUAAAUUAAUAUGUGAAGAUUGUGGAAAGUCAUUUUCUUCUACUUCAACAUUGUAUCGGCAAAUGAGGGAUAUACAUAGUAAAAAACAGAGUGAAAAAGAGAGCCAACACAUUAUUUGCCCCCUUUGCCUAGAGAAAGAGAAGUUUACAUCCUAUGAUUCUUUAAUAAGACACUUUCAUAGUAUUCAUAAUAUAGAUAUUAAAAAAUCUGUUUUAAAUUUUAGGAAUUUGGCAGAGUUUAAAAUUUGGAGGUCUGCAGAAAACAGAGAGGUAGAUUAUGCUGUUCAUCGAAGAAAGAAAUGUGCUAAUGGGGAAGAAUUUAUUUACUAUAAUUGUAAUAGAAGUGAUUCAAAAGGAUAUGUCAGUACAUGUUUGCAACGGAAUUUAAAGUCUAAAGGAAGCAUUCGUAUGCAAGGAAUUUGUCCAUCAAGAAUAAUAGUUAAAAUUCUAGUAGAUGGAGUGAUUAGAGUAAGAUUUUUUGAAACCCACGUAGGACACGCUGACGAAGAAGCAAAAGGCUAACAAAAUCGGAACAGGAGAUAAUUGUGGAUAAAUUAGCAGCAGGAGUUUCAAAUAAGAGAAUUAUUCAGGAGGCCAGAAGCAUAGAUGGCAAUACAAAGGAAAAAUUGUAUAACAUGUGGAGAUUUAGAGUACCUAAUACGAAAAUUUAAUAUUGACAAGAAAAGGGACAGUGAUGAUAUGAUAACCACAGUGUUAAAAAUUCAGGAAUGGAACAGUGAUGGAAAAAAUCAAGGAUUUUUAUUUAAACACAUAGGAGAAACUUAUCCAGGAUUAGAAGAAGAUGAUUUUGCAGUUGGAUAUAUGAAUGCUAUUAUGAAAAAAAAAUUAAGAGAUUUUCGAAAAAUAAUCUGUAUAGAUGGAACUCAUAUAACAAAUAGGAGAAACUGGGACUUGACAAUUGUGUUAAUAAGAGAUGAACAAAAUAUGGGUUUUCCAGUGGGCACUUAAAACUAGAUUAGGGGAAGCAGUUCAAGCUGAAUAUAUAAUGAGUGAUGACGAUCCAAAAUAUUACAAUGCAUGGAUAAUGGCUAUGGAUGCAGAACAAAAACCAAGAAGAUUACUUUGUACCUGGCAUAUAGUGAAAAAUUGGAACAUACAAGGAAAGUCUAAAAUCAAGAAGUUGGAAAACAGACAGAUAAUGAAACCUGAAAUGAGGAAAAUUUUAAAGGAGACUGACCCACAAAAAUUUAUAAAACUGAAAGAGAACUAUUUUAAGCAAUUAGAAGAAGAGGAGGAAACUAAUUUUCAGAAUUACCUGAAAAAGUACUAUUUCCAAAGUUCAGAGAGAAUAAUGAUGUGGGCACAUUGUUAUAGAAUCAAUGCCGGAAUUAAUACAAAUAUGGCAAUUGAAAGCUUAAAUAAAGUUCUGAAGUACAACAAAAUGAAUGGAAAGCAGAAUAUUAGGAUUGAAAAACUGUUGGAUUUACUGGAUGAACUUGUUGAUGAAAGAAUGUGAAAAAGAAUUAUAAACAUGGAAAGGACAAAUGCAAAUAAUUAUCAGCACAAAAUAUGUCAGAGUGCACAUAAAAAAGCAGAAGAAAUGGUUUCAUGUAUGAAUUGCAAGAAGAUAAUAAUCUGUAUGUCAAUGAACCUUCAACAGGCAAGACAGUUUAUGAGGAUGAAGUAAAUAAUUUUCUUGACGAGACUGAAAAUAGAAUGAAUGUGACAUUUAUUGAUUUUGAAAGAAAGCGUGAGAUUUGUCUAGAACAAUUUUGCUCUGAAAUUCGUAAUUAUGGUGGUGAGUUGGGUGAACAUGACUUAGAAAAAUUUAUGGGUGAUUUUAGAAAUUUUAUGUAGACAGUAAAACAAAAAGAAAUGGUGAUGAGUAAAAAAGAAAAAUAGAAAAGAACUAUUUUAUUACUGAAUGACAUUGCUUUUGUGAGUGACCUAUUCUGGUAUUAUAUCUAAGUGGUGUUGGCUAUUUCUAUUCAUGUAAUUCGUUGGCUUAUGGUGAAGGAUAAUUAUAAAAUAUAUUUUUUUAAUUUUGAUUUUAUCUUUAUUACAAUUAAAUAAUAUAUUAGUGUUUGUUUCAUA
rnacentral:lncRNA from 1 species